GGAAUGUUAGCGAUCACCGGUAGCUGGCUAAUUUUGCAUUCAAUGUUGGUAACGACAAUUAUAUCUUUGCUAAUAUGCUCAUGGUGGUACAUCUUCCUUUACUCUUACCCUAAGGCAUACACGGACAUGAUCGCUGAGAGAAGAAAGAGGGUAAGAAGUGGCAUCGAAGAUAUAUUUGGUUCGACAAAGGCUGACGGUAUAGACCAAACGUCCAACUGAUCAUUAGCUGAAGCAGGAAGAAGAAGGAUGAAGGGUGCAAAGUGCCGGUAUCUUGCGGACUGAUGAGGAAUUUUUGAAUGUCAAAAGCAUCUCAUGGAAUGAAAAGAUCUGUAUUUAACGUGAGCAGAAAACGUUCUUCAGUUUAUAGUCGGUAGUAUUGUAUAAUUGUGUUGCAAUGAAGAAAAUACAUUUUAUGUCU